GUGCAGCAGGCGAGAAACCUUCGCAAUGCAGGAAACUGCGACGAGGGAACUCCAAGUGCCUACGCUCAGCGUAGGCUGUUCUCAAGCCUAGAAAGCUUGAGGAGUAAGGGCUGGGUAAGACGGGUGCCAUCUGUGGUAGCAGUCAAUAGAUUCGAUUUGUUACUGCAAGGCAUAAGCGGCGCGGUAAUACCGCAGCCCAAGUGGUGGCCGCUUUUAUUGGGCCUAAAGCGUCCGUAGCCGGCCCGGUAAAUGCCUGGGUAAAUCGUGGAGCCCAACUUCACGAAUUCCGGGUAGACUGCCGAGCUCGGGACCGGAAGAGGGGAGAGGGUACUUCAGGGGUAGGGGUGAAAAUUUCCUUUCCAUUAACGCUUUUGCGCGAAGCGGAAAGGGUUAUC
rnacentral:rRNA from 1 species